UUUGUUCCCAUUGAUAGAUGCUUGUUUGCCUAUCUUUUGUCUAUCCAGUUUUACUUAAAAGAGGCAAUCUUCUUGUUGAUGAUGCUUAUAUUGUUGUUUCCCCUUUGAAAAAAUAACUUAAAAAUGGCAAUGUGUCUGCAGUUGUUACUUUCACUCUUUCGGUGGUUUAAACUCUAUCCACAUGGGUUUGUGCUUUGUUUUAUUACUACUCGUCCUUGAAUAUGAGAAAUAGGAAACAAAAGGGUGCAACUUUUUUUAGUUCAUGACUUGUGGGCUCCUUCGAUGGAAGUUAUUGCAAUAUGGAGGAAUCAGUGUGGCUUGAUUUCCCCUUAUCUUUAACUUUGUUUACAUUACUCAAUUAUGAGGGUUCUCAAGAAGAUAUAAUUAGUUCAUCUGCUCUUUAUUCUGGCCAACACAGCUUCCACAAGGGUCGGUUGAGGUUACUGCUAUCAAACAACGACUUCUAUCUCAGUAUGAUGUGAUUCUGUCACGCAUCAAAGACCUAAAAGAGGCUGCUGAAAAAGAGAUCUGGAUGUUAGCUCGAAUGUGCCAACUCGAGAACAAAAUUUCAGCUGUUGGAGAACCUUCUUAUCGGACUCGUAGAAGUAAAGUCAAAAGGGUGCGAGAGAGUCUGCAAAACUCCCUCAGGGGAAGGAUUGAAUUGAUUGAUAGCUAUGCCAGGGUAUGCUUCUCAGAAAA